AACGGAGGAGGCAAGGGUUAUCCGGAAUUAUUGGGCGUAAAGCGUCAGUAGGUGGCCAUGCAAGACUGCUGUCACAGCAUGGAGCUUAACUCCAUAGAGGCAGUGGAAACUGAAUAGCUAGAGUUCGGGAGGCGAAGCGGGAAUUGCCAGUGAAGCGGUGAAAUGCGUAGAGAUUGGGAAGAACAUCGGUGGCGUAAGCGCGCUACUGGGCCGAAACUGACACUGAGGGACGAAAGCUAGGGGAGCGAAAGGG
rnacentral:rRNA from 1 species